UUAGCAGCUCACCGACUUCCAUAAGCAGGUCACGAGUGCAGAGGAAUGUAAACAGGUUUGUUGGGCGAUAAGAGAGUUCACCAGGCUGUACCGAUAGCUGUCUUUUGCCUGCUGAUGCUGCAAGACCAGGUCAGAUUUUUUUGUUUUGCUAACAUUUGGAGGAAGUGGCAAAGGUAGCCAUGAUGACCACUGUUGAGAAACUAAAGGGUACUCUUGCAUGAAGGAUCGGUGGGACUUGGCAAAAUGGGAAAGCCGACCAAUUGAAUUGGAGCUUUGGAAUGGCAGGGUUUCAGGAAAAGCAAAUUGCCUUGUGGGUGUCAAAAGACUGCAGCCCCAUCCCUCCCUUUUACCUCUAUGAGCACACUGAUGCCAGCCGCACAGAGAGAAGGGGGGGAUAUUUCGGAAGGGACACCGUCGUCUUGUGGGAGGGGGGCCGUCGAAUGGACACUGAAAUACAUACACCCAUUUCAAAACAUGGAUGAACGUCUGCAUCGGUCAGAUUUCUGGGGGUCCAUCAAAAACCAACGACAAAUAAGGAUGUGCCUGGUUGCAAAUCAUAAUGCAUCAUUAAAAAAAGAGAGACUUGUAAGUUUUUAAAAACAAAUGGAGAUUUAUUUUCAUGGACGUGUUUAGAGAUCAAGAUAUGGCUUUGCUGCCAGUGCCAUAAAAACGACUACCAAAUUAAAGAUCGUCACAGCAGCAGCCUGCGCCUGUGGGACAUUUGGAAAGGGAGAAUCUUGGGAGAGUUGGCGUCACCCUUGAUCUUUUUAAAAGUUGGCUGGGAUUUUAUCCGUACAGGUUAUGCUGUAAAUUAUGGAGUGGACUGACUGGCAGGGGCUUUUUUUUUGUUUUCUCACCCUAUUGGCACAUCUCGAGAUGCAGAGAUCGUCUUCGGCCGAUUGUGUGAACAAAUAAAACCAACAUUGUGAGGAACAAA